AGAACUGCAAGAAGACUUAAACACAAAGAGGACAAGAAUCCCCAAGCGCCUUGAGUACGGGGACAGCACAGAAUUUACCGACUCGGAAGCAGAGACCGAAUUUGAGACCGAGGUCAUCCCGGGAUCACAGCCCCCCGUGAAGGGAAGGCGGGGAGUUCAGAAAAUGGGACAGCCUGAAAAUGAAGUGGAACGGGCGCGGCUGAACGCCAUCAUGAAUGGUGAACGUCCAGACAAGACAGGCGCGUCAGCCAGUGAUGAGCUGACAUAAGCGAAAGAAACCAUAAAAAAGGUGGAGGGGGAGCUUAACGCUGCUGUCCAAGAGGUCGUCCUGCUCAGAAAACUAAACUACAGACUUCAAGCAGA